AAGUCGUAACAAGGUUUCCGUAGGUGAACCUGCGGAAGGAUCAUUAAUACGUAUCCAACGUUAAACCCCCCCUGUGAACUUUUACACUUGCUUCGAAGCCCUCCGGAAUUGCAAUCGCACGAUCGCUCAACUAGGCUCUCCAAACUGAGGUCCCUGAAUCAAAAUCUGUUCAACAAUGAUUUACCAGGGCUUUUCGAUCACUGGAGGCCGACACCGGCCGGUGGACAGGUUGCAGUGGCUUCACGGCCCCAUAUUAACCCCACUACCUGUACCGGCCUCGUAGGAAACUACUGGGCAACAAACGAACAACUGUUAACAAUGGAUAUCUUGGUUCUC
rnacentral:misc_RNA from 1 species